GAUUUACAUUUGAGUGAGUGGCGAACUGGUGAGUAACACGUGGGAAACCUGCCCAGAAGCGGGGGAUAACACCUGGAAACAGAUGCUAAUACCGCAUAACAACUUGGACCGCAUGGUCCGAGUUUGAAAGAUGGCUUCGGCUAUCACUUUUGGAUGGUCCCGCGGCGUAUUAGCUAGAUGGUGGGGUAACGGCUCACCAUGGCAAUGAUACGUAGCCGACCUGAGAGGGUAAUCGGCCACAUUGGGACUGAGACACGGCCCAAACUCCUACGGGAGGCAGCAGUAGGGAAUCUUCCACAAUGGACGAAAGUCUGAUGGAGCAACGCCGCGUGAGUGAAGAAGGGUUUCGGCUCGUAAAACUCUGUUGUUAAAGAAGAACAUAUCUGAGAGUAACUGUUCAGGUAUUGACGGUAUUUAACCAGAAAGCCACGGCUAACUACGUGCCAGCAGCCGCGGUAAUACGUAGGUGGCAAGCGUUGUCCGGAUUUAUUGGGCGUAAAGCGAGCGCAGGCGGUUUUUUAAGUCUGAUGUGAAAGCCUUCGGCUCAACCGAAGAAGUGCAUCGGAAACUGGGAAACUUGAGUGCAGAAGAGGACAGUGGAACUCCAUGUGUAGCGGUGAAAUGCGUAGAUAUAUGGAAGAACACCAGUGGCGAAGGCGGCUGUCUGGUCUGUAACUGACGCUGAGGCUCGAAAGUAUGGGUAGCAAACAGGAUUAGAUACCCUGGUAGUCCAUACCGUAAACGAUGAAUGCUAAGUGUUGGAGGGUUUCCGCCCUUCAGUGCUGCAGCUAACGCAUUAAGCAUUCCGCCUGGGGAGUACGGCCGCAAGGCUGAAACUCAAAGGAAUUGACGGGGGCCCGCACAAGCGGUGGAGCAUGUGGUUUAAUUCGAAGCUACGCGAAGAACCUUACCAGGUCUUGACAUACUAUGCAAAUCUAAGAGAUUAGACGUUCCCUUCGGGGACAUGGAUACAGGUGGUGCAUGGUUGUCGUCAGCUCGUGUCGUGAGAUGUUGGGUUAAGUCCCGCAACGAGCGCAACCCUUAUUAUCAGUUGCCAGCAUUAAGUUGGGCACUUUGGUGAGACUGCCGGUGACAAACCGGAGGAAGGUGGGGAUGACGUCAAAUCAUCAUGCCCCUUAUGACCUGGGCUACACACGUGCUACAAUGGAUGGUACAACGAGUUGCGAACUCGCGAGAGUAAGCUAAUCUCUUAAAGCCAUUCUCAGUUCGGAUUGUAGGCUGCAACUCGCCUACAUGAAGUCGGAAUCGCUAGUAAUCGCGGAUCAGCAUGCCGCGGUGAAUACGUUCCCGGGCCUUGUACACCCCGCCCGUCACACCAUGAGAGUUUGUAACACCCAAA
rnacentral:rRNA from 1 species